CUCAUCAGUGGCACAUAAAAACCCUCACAUUAGUAAUUCCCCUGAUAAUCAGGUAAAGCAGAAACAGAGGUUUGGUUCUGAUAGUACUGAGACCAGACCAGAAAAAAGUUAUUUCAGGCACAUUGAUCAGGGGGGGCAGAAUAUUUUGGAUGACCAGAAAGUCCCUCAUGAGAUAGAUUCCUUUAUGAGCAAGUUAAACCCUAUGGUUCAAAAAUCAGAAUUUUUAACAUUCUUACCUGUCGAAUGUUCUAAGAAUAUGCCAUUAAAUGUAGACAGCUUUUUCCAGGAAGGUCUUUCCAAUGUGGAGCUCCCAGCUCUUGAUAACCACAAUGCUUCCAUGAACUUCUCUAUACUGAAAAACUCUGAAAUCUGUGGGGAAAAUGCUCAUAAUAAAGCACUGGAUACUGGAAAAGCAGAAGAAAAACCAGAUCAUACUUCUAAAGAGACUUACAAAAAGACUCUGACACCUUGCCAUGGGAGUAUGGCUUUGCAAGAUCUGACAAAUACUAGUAUACGAUCCCACACUUCCUUACCUAAAUCCUCCAAAACCUUAGAAGAAAACUCAGCAGCACCAUCUAGACGAGGAAGAACCACUAUUUGCUACAAAGAACCCAAUCUAAACAGCAAAUUAAGGCGUGGGGAUCAGUUUACAGAUACACAAUUUCUGGAUUCCCCAGUCUAUAAAGUAAAAAACAAAAGAAGUUUUAAAAGUAAAUCAAAAUUUAUUUGAAGAAGAGAACUGCCUUGAUGAACAAUACUUCUAAAAUGGGUACAAUUAAAAAAAAAAAAAAAAUGUUUAGCAGUACAGAGUGCUUAUUGUUCUUUGAUUAGUAAAGGUCUUCCAAAGUGGAAUUUCCUGGAAAGGAGCCCCUAUACAAAGGACACAGGAUACUUUACUGAGGACGGCAAAUACAGGUUAGGCUCCACUCUUGUGUUUUGCAUUUCUGGUCAGUAAUUUAUAAUCUGUUUAAAGGGUUUGCAGCACUUCUUAAUUUGUAAGAAAAGUGUACAUUUUAAUGAGAAUUAAAAAUAAAU
rnacentral:lncRNA from 1 species